UUUUCUGUUGGCGAAACCUAUAGAUUCUCUCAUUUUUUUUUUAGAGAGGGCUCGGAGGAACCAUCAUUCAUUCACCAUUGUUCUCAUUGCUGGAGUCAAGGUGAGAAGUCUUUACUCCAACUCCAUCUUCUCCCCAUCCCUUAGCUAUUAUCGAUGAUCAGAAUAUGACCGACAAGUCGCCGGAUUUGCUUUUGAAGUCUAAGUCCCCCGUUUUUCUUUUUUUCUUAGUUUCCACUGGACCGGCUACCCUUUCCGGAUGUGGUUGUACCGAGGUGUCCAAGGGCCAAAACCACCGGGGGUGGUUGUUACCGUUUGGGGUCGCUGCCAUAGGGAUGGCUGAGGUACGACUGUUUGCACAAUGUAUUGAGCAGAACAUCUUGCUUCUGAGUUCAUAGAUCGAGAAGUUCAUCGAUUACUAUGUUUGACUCAAUCAUCGAUAGAGACUUGCAGGAUGCGUAGGAUCGACCAAGUUGAGUGUAGAGUUUUGCUCGAUGGAGUCCUUAGUUAAUUAAUUUUCUGAUACCAAGCAAAUUUUUUAAUUUUUUGAACAUUGUUCAAUAAAGAUGGAUUUAUUGAUUUAAUAAAUAUGAUUGAAACUUUAUAAUGCUUUCGGUGCUCUUGUGGACUUGUUUAUUUUUUAAGUCUUCCAUAUUCUUUAGGACUUGCUCUAAGGAGUGUAUGACCAUCACGUAUCCAAUUUGGAUACUAGAUUCGGAGCGUGACAGAGUGAUAUCAGAGCUUAGGUUUAAAGUUACUAGGAACUGUGAUAUAAGUGAUAUCAAAACUUUGGAUAUAAUCAAUAGAGUGUGACAAAACAGUAUCAUAGCUUAUGGUUAUGAUCUUUAGAGAUUGUGAUUUAAGAAGUAUUUGAGCAUAAUAUUAUGAUUAUUAAGGAUGUGAUAGAAUAAUUGAGAGCUUAGGUUAUGAUCAUCAGGGACUGUGAUCUGAAUAGCAUUUGAGUAUAAAGUUAUGAUCAUUAGGAAUUGUGAGAGAGGUGAUUCAUAGGAUUUGAAUUUUAAUGGAUAAUUUAUAUCUUAGAUUGUAAAUCGAGAAAUUGAUAAUCUAUAAUUUCAUUGGUUCAAAAAUUAUUUAGCAAAUUCGAGAUAUUCGGUGGAUUAAAUCAGAGUGCGCAGCAAAAGCAUGGUAGUUUAAGUCAUUUAAAUUUGAUUGAAAAGAUUGAUUUAAUUUAGAGGAUGUUAUGUUGGAGGAUUGAAAUUUUCUUUCAAAGAAAGAAUGCUAUUUAGGAGCCCAAGGAUAGGAUAGGACUUUUGUACCUUUAAGGUUCGACAUUGCAGCAAGCUUAUUUCGAGGAUAAAAUUAUUUUAAGAGGAGAUAAUUUAAAGACCUAGAUUAAAAAAAAAUUUCACAUGGAUCUUGAAGCAUUCAAACAAAAAAAUAUUUUUUUUGCUGCAUGUGCUCUGCAUGUGAGUGGAGGAAGGAGGACUUUUGAUUAGAGUCUUCCUCCUCUACAUUUUCGUUUGGGAAAAGGACUCCUAGGGCUCGUUGGAGUCCGACAAAAGCCCUAGGAACUGAUCUAUAAAAAGAGCCCCAAAUCCUCCUCUUAAGCAUCGCCUCCUCGUCUCUAAUUUUUUGCUGAUGAAACCCAUAGAUUCUCUCGAAUUUUUUUGGAGUGGGCUCGGAGGAACCAUUAUUGAUUCACUAUUGAUCUCAUUGUCAGAGUCAAGGUAAGAGGUCUCUACUCCAACUCCAUCUUCUCCCCGUCCCUUAGCCAUUGUCGGUGAUCAGAAUAUGAUCGACAAGUCAUCAGAUUUGCUUUUGAAGCCUAAGUUCUCUGUUCUUCUUCUUUUUCUUUGUUUCCACCGAUCCAGCUACCCUCAUCGAAUGCAGUUGUACCUAGGUGUUCGAAGGCCGAAACCAUUGAGGGUGGUUGUUGCCAUUUGGGGUCACCGCCGUAGGGACGGCUGGCAUUUACCUUUCCCCUCCCCUGUUUUUGUGAAGAAGAAGAUAGAAUAAAAUGAGAGAAAAAAAAAAAGAAAAGCAAAGAAAAGAAAAGGAAAAGAAAAGAAAAGAAAAAAAGAGUCUCUUUUUUCCCUCUCUCUUCACUCUACCUUCUCUGUCCACUUCCUCUCCUUAAUUCUCUCUAUAAUUUCUCUCUCUAAAAAUCCUAGGGACAGUAGAGGGUCCGACUGUUUAGAUACAUCCUAAUUAAUCUGUUAACCCUACGAGGAGUGUUGGACCUAUAGUGCUAGGG